CCUACGGGUGGCAGCAGUGGAGAAUCUUGCACAAUGGGGGAAACCCUGAUGCAGCGACGCCGCGUGAGUGAAGGAGUAUUUCGGUAUGUAAAGCUCUAUCAGCAGGGAAGAUAAUGACGGUACCUGACUAAGAAGCCCCGGCUAACUACGUGCCAGCAGCCGCGGUAAUACGUAGGGGGCAAGCGUUAGCCGGAUUUACUGGGUGUAAGGGGUGCGUAGGUGGCAGGGCAAGUCAGAGGUGAAAGCCGGGGGCUCAACCCCGGUACUGCAUUUGAAACUGUCCAGCUGGAGUGCAGGAGAGGUAAGCGGAAUUCCUAGUGUAGCGGUGAAAUGCGUAGAUAUUAGGAGGAACACCAGUGGCGAAGGCGGCUUACUGGACUGUAACUGACACUGAGGCACGAAAGCGUGGGGAGCAAACAGGAUUAGAUACCCGUGUAGUC
rnacentral:rRNA from 1 species